AAAUUGAAGAGUUUGAUCAUGGCUCAGAUUGAACGCUGGCGGCAGGCCUAACACAUGCAAGUCGAACGGUAACAGGAAGCAGCUUGCUGCUUCGCUGACGAGUGGCGGACGGGUGAGUAAUGUCUGGGAAACUGCCUGAUGGAGGGGGAUAACUACUGGAAACGGUAGCUAAUACCGCAUAAUGUCGCAAGACCAAAGAGGGGGACCUUCGGGCCUCUUGCCAUCGGAUGUGCCCAGAUGGGAUUAGCUUGUUGGUGGGGUAACGGCCCACCAAGGCGACGAUCCCUAGCUGGUCUGAGAGGAUGACCAGCCACACUGGAACUGAGACACGGUCCAGACUCCUACGGGAGGCAGCAGUGGGGAAUAUUGCACAAUGGGCGCAAGCCUGAUGCAGCCAUGC
rnacentral:rRNA from 1 species